ACGGUCUUUCCGUACCAACCGUACAUGGUUUAAAGUGUAAACAUGGCUGUCCGCGCUGCAGGUCAGAUUGCAGGUAUCUGUCAUUUGUAUAGAUCCUCAAGCUUAGGAGGUUUUCGGACGUUGUCACAAAAUGUAUCGUCGUCCAAACACACUCCCUCCAAUGCCCCUGAGACGACAGUGGACCAUUUGAUCUACACGCCAGAGCAUUUUGCAUUAAAGGAGUCCAUCAAAAAGAUCAUUGACCAGGAGAUCAACCCACAUGUGGACCAGUGGGAGGCAGAGGGGAAGUUUCCUGCACACAGAAUCUUCAAGAUCCUGGGGAACGCCGGCAUUUUAGGGGUCAACAAACCAGUUGAGUAUGGGGGUCUGGGCCUGGACUUCAGCUACAGCGUGGCGGUCUCGGAGGAGCUGGGUAACAUCCGCUGCGGAGGGAUCCCCAUGGCGAUCGGCGUCCAGACGGACAUGGCCACUCCGGCGCUGGCCAGGUUUGGUUCACAUGAGCUGAAGACAGAGUUCCUGCUGCCCUCCAUCCUGGGAGACAAAGUGGCCUGUCUGGGAGUGAGCGAGGUGGGGGCUGGAUCCGAUGUAUCAAGUAUCAUGACCAAGGCUGUGAGGCAGGGGGACGAGUACGUGAUCAACGGGGGGAAGAUGUGGACCACCAAUGGCACGCAGGCGGACUGGAUGUGUCUGCUGGCCAACACCAGUGACGGGCCGCCGCACCGCAAUAAAUCACUCAUCUGUCUGCCCAUGGAUCUGCCCGGCGUUCAUAUCGCCCGCCAAAUAGACAAGAUGGGGAUGAGGUCAUCAGACACCGCCGAGGUCUUCUUUGAUGACGUCCGCGUGCCCAGCAAGAACGUCAUUGGCAAGGAGGGCAUGGGCUUCACCUAUCAGAUGCUCCAGUUCCAGGAAGAGAGACUCUGGGCGGUGGCCAACACCCUGACCACCAUGGACAUUGUCAUCCAGGAGACCAUUGACUACACGCGGCAGAGGAAGAUCUUCAAGAUGCCCGUGCUCCACCACCAGACGGUGCAUUUCCGGCUGGCCGAGCUGCAGACGGAGGUGGAGCUGCUACGCUCCCUCCUGCACCGUGCUACAGUGUCAUUUGUAAUCUUAACUCUUCCCCCGUUGUUCUUUCCGUCUCUCUGGCUCUCUCUCUGUCGCUCUCUGUCGCUCUAUCUGUCUGUCCUCUGUUUGUUGCAGCGCUGUUCAUCAAGGGCAACGAUGUGACCAAGCUGGCGUCCAUGGCCAAGCUGAAGGCUGGCCGCCUGGCGCGGGAGCUGGGGGAUAGCUGCCUCCAGUACUGGGGGGGCAUGGGCUUCACCAACGACGUCUUGGUCAGCCGCUUUUACCGAGACUCCAGGUUAAUAUCCAUUGGUGGCGGGGCAGAUGAGGUAAUGUUGGGAAUCAUAUGCAAGUACAUGGACACCCUGCCUAAGUGACCUCAUCAUUGACGUGACACACCAUCACAAAUACCUCUUUCCCCGAGACCCGGAUUUCUACAAAAUCACUGAAGUGCAAUUUACAAAUAUUUGUGUAACCAGGUUUAUUUUCAAUGAAGCAGCACAGUGAUUGUGUGAUUGUGAUUGUCAUGUUUGAUUGUCUUGCAUUAGUGAGGUAUUCUGGAAGAAAUUUGCAAUGAAACAAAGUGUAUCUCUGUGUAGAAUAGCUGCAACAGGUCCACGACAGUGCUUCUAUGUAUGGUUCUGUUCCAUCAAUAAAUCUGAUGAGUGGAACGUCAGACAUC